GUGAACUUGCUACUGGCUCUCCUGAAUCAUCCUAACGCAGGACCUAGAAGUCCAAGUCUAUAGACCCUGCCAACCUAAAUGAUAAAGCUGUGAGGCUUUGGAAAGCCUGAAUCAGGAUUCAGAGGUGGAUGUACAGCUGUCAGAAAGUGUGGAGUGGAGGUUCCUUAUCGUUCAACAGACAGGAGCAGAGGGGCCAGGUUUUCAUCUCUUUAACCAUGAAUUGCUAUGAAGAAGCCACCGUGUGGAAUGCAUGUCAGGACUGAAGUUCUUGGGACACCCAUCCUAAACGACGAAAUGAAAGCAGCGUUGACUCUCGUGGGGAUGAAGCCAGCCUCUACUGCAGUAUUAAUUAAAAGCAUUGCGCUGAUGGGUAAACCGGUUUUAUGACUUUAAUCAAAUAAGUCUCUUGUGGAAUGUUUCCAAAGAGUUUUAGUGAGCCUAUUAUAUCAUUUUAAUGAUCGUUUGUUUGGAAAUACAAUGUGUUAUAUUCAUCGGAGACUCCAGUCAAUCACUUACUCAAGGACAUCACGUUUAUUUAUUUUACUAAUCCUUUCAUUCGCUUCAAAGACAUUGCAAACACUUUUUUUAUUUUUUUUUAUUGAGCGAUUUAAAAGAGCUCUAUUUUUGUUAACAAUGAAUGAAAACCACAGAGGGCCUUUUGCCCUUCAUGUUGAGAGAAUAUUUUUUGUGUUUCAGUAAAUUUAUAAUUCAGAGCACCACUUGUGUUGCCAAAUGAUUCCUUUAAUAGUUGUAAUGGUUUCUGUGCAGACAUGUAUUAAAUAGCAGGGGUUCUGAUCAUGGACAUGAGUUCAAUUAACACUAGAACCACCACGGAACCACCACGGAACCACCAUGGAACAACCACGGAAUCACCACGGAACCACUAGAACCACCAUGCAGUCAUUUUGACGGAUUGAGGUUUUCAAAUUGAAAUUACUCUGCGUGUCUGAAAGUUAUGCAGUUGCCUGUUUAUGACUUUUCCUAAAUAUAUGUAUUAAAUACCCUGACUGUGUUUGAAAGGCAGGAUCACAAAAAUAUUACCAAGAUACUGAAUAUUAAAUGAUAAUAAAAGAAAUCAGCCAACAAAGCCAUGUUUGUAAUACAAUUGUGUCCAGUGAAGGA